UGAGGAAUAUUGGUCAAUGGGCGCAAGCCUGAACCAGCCAUCCCGCGUGCAGGAAGACGGCCCUAUGGGUUGUAAACUGCUUUUCCAGGGGGAGAAUUUUUCUGUCGUGACAGGAAUUGACGGUACCCUGGGAAUAAGCAUCGGCUAACUCCGUGCCAGCAGCCGCGGUAAUACGGAGGAUGCGAGCGUUAUCCGGAUUUAUUGGGUUUAAAGGGUGCGUAGGCGGAUUGAUAAGUCAGUGGUGAAAACCUGCAGCUUAACUGUAGACUUGCCGUUGAUACUGUCAGUCUUGAGUAUGGUCAAGGUAGGCGGAAUGUGUAAUGUAGCGGUGAAAUGCUUAGAUAUUACACAGAACACCGAUUGCGAAGGCAGCUUACUGGGCCAUUACUGACGCUGAUGCACGAAAGCGUGGGGAUCGAACAGG
rnacentral:rRNA from 1 species